rnacentral:rRNA from 1 species
UACGUAGGGGGCGAGCGUUGUCCGGAGUUACUGGGCGUAAAGGGCAUGCAGGCGGUCAGACGCGUUUUGUGUGACAGCGGAGGGCUUCACUCUCCGAGCAUACGAAAGACGGUGUGACUUGAGGGCUCGAGAGGGACACGGAAUUCCGGGUGGAGUGGUGAAAUGCGUAGGAGAUCCGGAAGGAACACCGAGGCGAAGGCAGUGUCCUGGCGAGUAUCCUGACGACUGAGGUGGCGAAAGCCAGGGGAGCCGAACGGG